GUUGACAGUGAUGGAUGCUGGGAGGACAGAUGUAUGUCUAAGUGGUAGACAUCUUUCAGAGCCCUGUUGUGUCUGGGGCUCAUGGGUAGGCGCUGUCUGUCAUAAGAUUACAAAAUCCACAAGAAAAGAAAAUAUCUGGAGAAACCCUUAGGACAAGCAGUCCCCCUGGUGCCCUCCACCUCCCAAAGUGACUGGCUGACAUUGAUAAUUCAUUGAUAACAAUUCAUUGAUAAUCUGAAACCACAGGGCCCACAGAGUGGUUCACCAUAUUUCCUGCCCCCUGCUUCUGGUCACUCCAGUUAAUACAAGUAAUUCAAGAUGUCCAGCUUCCUCAUGCAGCCCCAGCUGGCUCUGGGCUCCUCCUGUGUGGGUUGUCCAGUUAUCUUAGAAAGGGGAAGAGAGAGAACUUGGCAGAGUAUCAUUUACUCCAAAUAGUCACUCUCCCAUUCUGCGCAUAAGCAAUUUCCUAACACUAGAACCAAGGAAAGUUCACUGGGCAUUGGAGAAAUUGAAAAGGAUCCAGGCUAUGUGGCCCUGGGCUAGCCCUUGGCCAUCUCUGGGUCUUCACACUCUGAUCAGUAAAUGUAUAGAAGGAGACAACUGCCCUGUGGAGUGGUGGUAUCUGGAGAGAGGUCUGAACUAGGAGGAAAGGGAGGGAAGUCCCUCCUUGGCUAUUUGGUGCUCUAGUUAUCACUACUAAUAGCAAUAGGCCAUGGGCUGUGACUAUCUCUAAAAUAGAGAAAAUGUUACUUCACAGCGUUGCUGGAACCAUUAUAUGAGAUAGUGCCUGGCUGUGUCUAAUACCUGGAGUUAUUGUCUGUAAUGACACCCUUUCUCAGGGUUUGGAUGAAAUCGGGUUAGUAAUUCAGCCUCCUUUCUGGAAGUGGUGGUGGUCUCAGGAGUGCUGGCCAUGGAAAGGCUGUGAUCAAGUGAGGAUGGGAGAUGGAGUGGCCUGGACAGGGCUCACCCCCACUCCCCCGGCCAGUGAAGAAGAAACGCUGGCAGGAGGCCGGGCUGGAGUGGCAUGGGUGUGCGUGGGGGGUGGGGUGAGCGCAGUCACCAAGGGGGCCGGCAGCUGUGCGGGUCCUGGGCCCUCACUCACAAUUGGAGGAAGGCGUGCAGGAAGUGCUCACAGCCGCUCAGACAUCUCAGAGCCUCGUCCCAGGCAGCACCAAGGCCGAGGCACCCAGGGACGAGCGUGCCAUGGCCUGGGCCCUGGGGUGGUCAUCAGGUCAGGAGGCCCCGGCACUGCGUACAGCCAUAGCUGCCCCUCUGCCAGCCCGGGCUCCUGCAUCCAAGGAGUCUUGAGCUUAUGUUUUUCAGGACAGCGCUUCUUCCAGAGCUGCCAGUGGAGUUGCCCACGGCUCUUGGAAGCCUGGCCCAAGGCUGAGAAAAGUGACAGAGGCCACUAAAGUCGGAGUAGAGCCAUGUGGGGUGCCCAACGGCCCAGAGCGGGUACCAGCCAGGGCCUCAGACCAGUAUCUCCUUAGAAGACCACAGGGAGAGCAGCCGGAGGAGCAAGCCAUCACCAGCAGCUCCUCGCUUCGGAUGGGGAGCGAGUGAGGUCCAAAACACACCCUGGGCUGCUCAGUGGUCCGUGGCCACACAGGGCCAUGGAAGCAGCAGUGAUCGGGAUGGUGGCUGUGCUCUUUGUGGUCACCGUGGCCAUCACCUGCGUCCUCUGCUGCUUCAGCUGUGACUCAAGGAGCCAGGAUCCUCAGGGGGCCCCACGCCCCAGCUUCACAGUGGCCACGUUUCGCCAGGAGGCUUCCCUCUUCACUGGGCCAGGUCGCCAUGCUCAGCCAGUGGCAGGUGCCCGGGACUUCUGGACCUUCAUGUGAAAUCUACCAGCCCCCAGGAUUUGCUCUUGUUGUUUAGGCGCUCAUUCGUGUCCAACUCUUUGUGACCCCAUGGACGGUAACCUGCCAGGCUCCUCUGUCCGUGGAAUUCUCCAGGCAAGAAUACUGGAACAGGUAGCCAUUCCAUUCUCCAGGGGAUCUUCUUGACCCAGGGAUUGAACCCAAGUCUCCUGUAUUAGCAGGCGGAUUCUUUACCACUGAGCCACCUGGAAAGCCCAGGAUUUGCUCUGCUGCAGGUCAGACUCCUCUUCCCCCAGCAAGCCUUCUCUGGUGACCCACUCCUCCAGCCUGGCAUUUCUGUCCUGUCCAGCCUGUAUCCAGCAGACUCCUGACUCAUCCUAUUCCGGUUGGCCAUGCCCUCCAGCCUGGGAGAUCUACGGUGAUGGGACCAGUAGGAGUCAGCUCUGACCCCCGAGAGCUCAGCCGGACCCUACCCACAGGGUGGGGCUUACGAGAGGUCGAGAGUGAGUGACCAGGCAAUAUUGGAUGGCAUGGUGGGCCAGCUCCUCUGAUCUACAAGAUGCAGUGAAAUAUCACUGGACUUUAUUGUGAACAGAGUGUUGGUUAUCUCAAGAUGUCCCAGGAUGCCUAUGACGCCGCUGGUUCGAUUGCCACGAGAGGAAGCAGCGCCCUCAAGUGGACAGUUUCAGAAACCACUUUUUAUCUGUUCUGAGAGAGUCAUUCUGCUACUUGCCUGCGCACAUAUUGCAGAGCCCACUUCUGAGACCUGCCUCCUACCUGUUACCUGAAAUCCGCCCUGAAAUUCUGAAACCAAAAGCCUGCUUCCUGGGAACUGGCAAUUCAUUUCACAAUUGAAAAUGCAUAUCCUUUUAUGGGUCUCCCAAGAAUCAGGGUUGGGAAACCACAAAAGGAAACAGAAGAGAAAAAGAGUCACAGAAAGUACCAGACGUUUUAUUAAUAGGAAAGCCAGAAAGAAGACUUUGAAAUGUAUUUGCAUGAGACUUUAUUUCUAUAUUCUUAUGGGUCACUUCUAUUCUUAGAGACUGUGACUUGCAUCACCCAGGAAUGACUGAAAAAUCACCAACUGAAAGGUAAUUUCGAAUAAGUUAAAAUGUUAUAUUAUAUCGACAGUAUGUAACAAAGCUCUUGUUUGCAUCACAAAUAAAGAGAUGUUCUGUUUUUAUUUACAGAAGAGCUGUUUUCUCUGUACCAAUGAAAUGCAUGCCAGACCAUAUUUAGCAAACGGUUUGAAGGAUGCAGAAUUCUGAGUCUCCUGACUCAUAUCUCCAUCCAGCACUGAAGGAAUGACUCUCCCAGGACCUGGCGUUGACGGGGGCAGGACUGACCCAGAGAGGAGGUCUGGCCCCUGAGGGGGCCUGGAUGGGCCACCCUGGCCAUGUGGCUGCCAUAGAAGGACUCGCAGAGAGAGAUGCUUGGGGCUGUGAAAGUGCAGAGGUGUAAGGAGCCAGGGAGAGAGUCAGGCUGGUGGAGAGGGGUGAGUCUGGGGAGGGGAGAGGCACAGCAGAGGGAAGGCCUGGAGCGCCUGAGGACCCUGUGUCGGUCUCUCUGGACCCCAGAGCCCGCAAGCAGAGCCUUCACAGAUGCACGUGGAGUGCGGCAGGGAGGCCCCAGAGGGCCUCAGCUGAGCGGAGUGAACUGUUCAGUUCACGUUCUCUGAAAGCGAAGCCCAGACAGAGUUGUGGGGUGUGAGAUGUUUAUAGGAAUCAACAGCCAUGAGGGGAAGGAGGGGGAAGCAGGAUUAGAUAGAGGAAGGAGUUAAAGAUGAUGCAGGCCCUUAAUAUCCCCCAUCUUUGCUCUUCUCUGAGAGCCCCCGCCCCCUGAGGUUCGGCCUCAGGCAAAGUGGCUCCUGGCACAGGCUGGCCCUGAAGUCCUUCCGUGGAGGCGUCCUGUGAGCACCUCUCCACGGGAGCUCAGCAGCGGCCUGUUCCCAGAGCCGGGUGAGCAUGUCCGGGCAGAGAGAAAUACCGGGCGCAGGAGCUCCAGGUGGGCACAGCUGGUGGUACAAGGUCUGGGAGGAGACAAGAGAGUGGGCCUCAGCCUCUCUCUGUCCUCAAGCAGAGUUAGCUCUGCUGUAGGCCCAGCACCUUCAGCCGGACCCAAGUGUCAGGACCCCCGGUCCAGGGCUUUGCCUCUGUGUGCUGUGGUCACAUUCUUCCCUGAGUCUGUGGAGGAAGGUCUGUAGGCUGGACUCAGCCCUGAGAACAAGCAACGGCGAGGGGGCAGCCUCGCUCUGCGGGCGAGCAGUCUGCCAAGUCCCAGGCUCUCAUUGGCUCACUCGCUCAUCCACCCACCUACCCACCCAUCUGUCCAUCUGUCCAUCUGUCCUCUUACUCCACCUACUUGCUGAGCCUUACUUCCUCGCCGACUCAUGCAUUCAUUCAUUCAUUCCAUCACCCAUUCACUCCUCCAUUCAAAAAACACUGGCUGAGCACCGACUGUGUACCAGGCCCCACCCAGGGAACGUGAAAGUCACCAAGACCCAGUCCCAGCAACCGAUGAACACCCAAUUUAGUCAUCUGGACAGGGUGCUCAGGGGAGAGAGGGCCCCAGUCCCCAGGGAACCCGGGAGGAGGUGACCUUUGAGUUGGACUUGAAGAAAAGUAGGCACUUCAACAAGAAGAGCUUGGGGGAGGGUCCCCCAGAGGGACUGGCAGGAUUGGAGAUUCGGAGAAUGUGUGCAGCAGGGCGUAGGGGGUCAGAUAGAGUGGGGGCCAGGAGAUGAAACACAGCCAGCUCCUGCGGGAACCCCUUCUUGCCACACUUGGCCAGUAUGUUUCCGGGCAAGCGAAGGCAAUGAAGAGGCAGCCUGGCUUGUCAGUCUGGGCA
ensembl:lncRNA